GACGAACGCUGGCGGCGUGCUUAACACAUGCAAGUCGAACGGAAAGGCCCUGCUUUUGUGGGGUGCUCGAGUGGCGAACGGGUGAGUAACACGUGAGUAACCUGCCCUUGACUUUGGGAUAACUUCAGGAAACUGGGGCUAAUACCGGAUAGGAGCUCCUGCUGCAUGGGGGGGGUUGGAAAGUUUCGGCGGUUGGGGAUGGACUCGCGGCUUAUCAGCUUGUUGGUGGGGUAGUGGCUUACCAAGGCUUUGACGGGUAGCCGGCCUGAGAGGGUGACCGGCCACAUUGGGCCUGAGAUACGGCCCAGACUCCUACGGGAGGCAGCAGUGGGGAAUAUUGCACAAUGGGCGGACGCCUGAUGCAGCAACGCCGCGUGCGGGAUGACGGCCUUCGGGUUGUAAACCGCUUUCGCCUGUGCCGAAGCGUGAGUGACGGUAAUGGGUAAAGAAGCACCGGCUAACUACGUG
rnacentral:rRNA from 1 species